AUAGGGGCUGCCACAUCCAGGGGAGGUCAGAAGGCACUCAUAGGGGACGGAAGCCUGGGGACACGGAGGUGGCGCUCAGCAGCCAAGAUGGAGUGUACAACUCACAGGCAUGCCAGGCACAUAGCAACGACCCUCGGCGUGUCUCAGCCCAGCAGGCUCGCCUCCAGGGACCUCAGCAAAGAGGUGAUGACAUGUUCAGGUCUUUUUUUUUUUUUUAAGAGAAAAACACAGGUGUCGCUAUGUUGCCCAGGCUGGAGUGCAGUGGCUAUUCACAGGCACAAUCCCACCACCGAUCAGCACGGGAGUUUUGACCUGUUCCAUUUCUGACCUGGGCCGGUUCACCCCUCCUUAGGCAACCUGGUGGUCCUCCGCUCCCGGGAAGUCACCAUAUAGAUGCCCACAUUAGUGCGGACACUCG